UUCCUCUCGAAAGGGGGAGGUAAGGCCUGCUCACUGAAUUUUAAAGAGCCGCAGUAUCUUGACUGUGCUAAGGUAGCAUAAUCAUUAGUCUUUUAAUUGAAGACUGGUAUGAAUGGCUAAACGAGAAAUCGACUUUUUUUGUUAUAAAGAUUGAACUUAAUUUUUUAGUGAAAAAGCUAAAAUUUUUCAGAAAGACGAGAAGACCCUAUAGAGUUUUAUAUCUCGGAAAAUUUUUUCUUAAUGGAUUUUUUUGGAUAAAAUUUUUUUGUGGUAUUUUGUUGGGGCGACAUUUAGAUACGAGAAACUCUUUAUGAGAAAAACUUUUUUGAAAGAAUUGAUUGAUCCUCUAAAAAAGAUCAUAAGAAAAAAUUACCUUAGGGAUAACAGCGUAAUCUUUUUUGAGAGUUCUAAUCGACAAAAAGGUUUGCGACCUCGAUGUUGGACUAAAAUUUAGACAGGGUGCAGUAGUUCUGUUUUUGGGUCUGUUCGACCCGUAAUAUUUUACACGAUCUGAGUUCAGACCG
rnacentral:rRNA from 1 species